rnacentral:rRNA from 1 species
AGGAAAGGCGGGAGGACAUUGCUGGACGCGCCUCGGCGCACCCAGAAACCCUUUGUGAACUUAUACCUUACUGUUGCCUCGGCGCAGGCCGGCCCCCCUCGCGGGGGCCCCUCGUUCCUGACGAGGAGCAGGCUCGCCGGCGGCCAAGUUAACUCUUGUUGUUAUUGUGAAACUCUGAGAAUAAAACAUAAAUGAAUCAAAACUUUCAACAACGGAUCUCUUGGUUCUGGCAUCGAUGAAGAACGCAGCGAAAUGCGAUAAGUAAUGUGAAUUGCAGAAUUCAGUGAAUCAUCGAAUCUUUGAACGCACAUUGCGCCCUCUGGUAUUCCGGAGGGCAUGCCUGUUCGAGCGUCAUUUCAACCCUCAAGCCUGGCUUGGUGAUGGGGCACUGCCUUUAGUGUAAAAACGAAGGGCAGGCCCUGAAAUUCAGUGGCGAGCUCGCCAGGACUCCGAGCGCAGUAGUUAAACCCUCGCUUUGGAAGGACUGGCGGUGCCCUGCCGUUAAACCCCCAACUUUUGAAAAUUUGACCUCGGAUCAGGUAGGAAUACCCGCUGAACUUAAGCAUAUCAAUAAGCGGAGGAA